AGAGUUUGAUCCUGGCUCAGAUUGAACGCUGGCGGCAGGCCUAACACAUGCAAGUCGAACGGUAACAUUUCUAGCUUGCUAGAAGAUGACGAGUGGCGGACGGGUGAGUAAUGCUUGGGAACUUGCCUUUGCGAGGGGGAUAACAGUUGGAAACGACUGCUAAUACCGCAUAAUGUCUUCGGACCAAAGGGGGCUCCGGCUCCCACGCAAAGAGAGGCCCAAGUGAGAUUAGCUAGUUGGUAAGGUAAAGGCUUACCAAGGCAACGAUCUCUAGCUGUUCUGAGAGGAAGAUCAGCCACACUGGGACUGAGACACGGCCCAGACUCCUACGGGAGGCAGCAGUGGGGAAUAUUGCACAAUGGGCGAAAGCCUGAUGCAGCCAUGCCGCGUAUGUGAAGAAGGCCUUCGGGUUGUAAAGCACUUUCAGUUGUGAGGAAAAGUUGGUAGUUAAUACCUGCCAGCCGUGACGUUAACAACAGAAGAAGCACCGGCUAACUCCGUGCCAGCAGCCGCGGUAAUACGGAGGGUGCGAGCGUUAAUCGGAAUUACUGGGCGUAAAGCGCACGCAGGCGGUUUGUUAAGCUAGAUGUGAAAGCCCCGAGCUCAACUUGGGAUGGUCAUUUAGAACUGGCAGACUAGAGUCUUGGAGAGGGGAGUGGAAUUCCAGGUGUAGCGGUGAAAUGCGUAGAUAUCUGGAGGAACAUCAGUGGCGAAGGCGACUCCCUGGCCAAAGACUGACGCUCAUGUGCGAAAGUGUGGGU
rnacentral:rRNA from 1 species